AGCCACAGCCAUAUCACCCUGCAGCCCAAAACCGGUUUCUCACUGAAGCUGAGCAGGGCUGAGGCUGGUCAGUACCUGGAUGGGAGAUCACAUGGGAAAACUAAGUUGCUGUUGGAA
ensembl:rRNA 5S_rRNA 5S ribosomal RNA